rnacentral:lncRNA from 1 species
UGUUAGACCAGCAGGACUUUCUUCAUCAGUGACUUGAUGUGUUUUGAGGAGUUCUAUGUGCUGAGGAAUUAAGAUGAAUGAAAUACUUUAUUGGCCAUAGCAGGAUCAGGAUGUGCAAGGAACGCUGUCAUAUCUGUUAGUGGGCAUAAUGCAGAAUCCUUUAACUUUUUCUGCAGGUGGUGUUUUUUUGCAUGCUAAUCCUGCAGAGAAACAAAGUGUUCAACAGAGUAUGCUGGGUCAGCAAAAGCAAGAAACUUGUGCUGGAAAGACAGUAUCCACAGAUAAACACAAAUCCCCUAC